GGGGACCUUGAUUUGACCCCUACGUCGGGAAGAUCCCCUGGAGAAGGGAAUGACAAAGCACUCCAGUAUUCUUGCCUGGAGAAUCCCCUGGACAGAUGAGCCUUCCAUGACCAACUACAGUCCUUGGAGUCACAAAGAAUUGAACACAACUAAGCAACUAACACCUUACCUUACCUUACCUGAAGGCUACAUUUGUUGGAUUUCCAAACAAAUUGGACUCACAGACCAACUCUUGGAAUGGAGCUCAUUCACAUGUAGGGGACUUUGUAUGUAAACCCGUUGGCUUGCUUUUCCUUUCUUCCUCCAAUGUUUAAGGACGGACAGGCCCAGGCUCAGUUCUUUGUCCUGUUAGCCUACUUGCUCUCACUCUCUUGAUGAUCGCAUCCAGCCUCAGGCUUUAUGCCAUCAUCAGAGCUGCUGGCUCUCUGCUUUCUCCAGCCCAGGUCCUUUCUCUUCUCCAGCAGUCAGGUGCUGCAGACUCCAGCCUCCAGGUUCCCUUGCUGGCUUCCUUCUGAUUGAUUGUUCUAUUUCAGUGGUAAAGAUUGGCCUGAAGUGUUCAACAACGAGAUCAACUGGUCCCUAAGGGAGGAUGAAGUUGACCUUUCCUGACCUUCAUGACCUCGAUCAACUAGACCUCGCACUCUGUCAACCACCCAAGCCCCUUCAUGAAUAUGCAUGUACCCUUAGCUCAAGAAUUCCCCCAUUUUUGCUGUCUGGGGAGAUACUGCCUCCAGAAAGAUCCCCAGUGUUCUCCUUACUUGUGCAGCUCCAUGGACUGCAGCCUACCAGCCUCCUCCGCCCAUGGGAUUAUCCAGGCAAGAGCACUGGAGUGAUAGAUAAGAAGUGA
rnacentral:lncRNA from 1 species